GAUGAUAUGUCCUAACAGCAUUUUGUCAUGUCAUUUACUGUACUUCUUAACCUACAUGUAUUUGAAUAUUCAGUCCCCAUAUAACUACGCCCAUAUGUUGUGGACAUUUUCAUACAAGAAUACAAACAGGAAUAUGUAUUGGAGUUUGCUGUUUAAAUUGACAGUCAAUCGGAGGGUAACAGGUGGACUUCAAUAUGUAUGAUCUACUUAUGCUGCCACAAUGUAAAGGCAACAAUCACUGGGUUUUGCUGGUUGCAAGUGUUAUGUCCAGGACUGUAACCAUUUACGACUCGUUGGGUGGUAACAACAAGGCCUUGUUCGAUUUGUUCUGCCAGUUCAUGUGUCAACGAGCGCAAAUUGUGAAAGAUGGCUUGGAAAAAUUCAGUUCAGAGUUCAAAGCGCCACCUUGCAACAAACAGCGCCAUGGAAACAGCUGUGGAGUGUUUGC